rnacentral:rRNA from 1 species
UACGUAGGAUCCUAGCGUUGUCCGGAUUUACUGGGUGUAAAGGGUGCGCAGGCGGACUUGUAAGUCAGGGGUGAAAUCUCGGCGCUUAACGCCGAAACUGCCUUUGAUACUAUAAGUCUUGAGUUUGGUAGAGAUCCGUGGAAUUCCGAGUGUAGCAGUGAAAUGUGUAGAUAUUCGGAAGAACACCAGCGGCGAAGGCAGCGGAUUGGGCCAAUACUGACGCUCAGGCACGAAAGCAUGGGGAUCAAACAGG